GGCUAGGGCGGAGCUGGCGGAGGAAGUCCGCGGCCUGCUCGGGCUGGCGCUGCCCUGGGGACGCUGGGACUGGGAGGCCGGGCGGCCCGGGCCCGGCGGCGGCGGCGGCGGCGGCGGCGGCGGCGGUGGCGGGAGGCCCGGUCCGGAGCGCCAUAUGAGACGGUUUAAACGGAAGCACCUUACAGCCAUCGAAUGCCAACAUUUGGCUCGGAGUCACUUGGCUGUGACCCAGCCCUUCGGUCAAAGAUGGACCAACAGAGACCCGAACCAUGGUCUCUAUCCUAGACCCAGAACAAAAAGAGGGACUAGGGGUCAAGGAUGUCAAAGAUACGACACUGACUUCUUCCCAGCCGGCCAGCAGCGGCGCAUCAAUGACAUGGCCAAAAGCAAUUCUGUGGGCCAGGACACCUCUAAGGACUCGGAGGGGGAAAUGAUCUUUGCUGCAGAGAGCAACUGUGCCCUGCCUCAGGAAGAUGAUGGUGAAGCAAGACUGGGCUCCUCAGGGUCUGCUCUGCCUGCAAGGAAGCGGUCUCGGUCCUUUGAGGACGACAGGAAUCAAGCUACGGGGACCAGUCCGUGGGAUGGGGUUUCUAAAAAGACUCCACGGCAUCGUUUGUCCCUGUCACGCGCAAGACCCAGAGAAACCAGGCAAGAAGCCGAGGACUGUCUGUCUCGGUGCUCUGUGGAGUCUGGAGAACCUGGCCAAGAAGUGGAGGACGUUGGUCCUGAUCCCAUUCCUGACUCUUACUAUGGGCUUCUUGGGACCCUGCCUUGCCAAGAACCCCAGAGCCUCAUAUGCAGCCUGCCCAGUGAAGUCCUAAGGCACAUCUUCGCUUUCCUCCCUGUGGAAGAUCUCUAUUGGAAUGCGAGCCUAGUGUGCCACCUUUGGAGAGAGAUCAUCAGUGAUCCACUGUUCAUUCCUUGGAAAAAGCUGUAUCAUCGCUACCUGAUGAAUGAAGAGCAAGCCGUGAGCAAAGUGGAUGGCAUCCUGUUGAACUAUGGUAUAGAGAAGGAGUCAGACUUGUGUGUGCUGAACCUCAUUCGCUAUACAGCCACCACUAAAUGCUCCCCCAGUGUGGAUCCUGGACGGGCGUUAUGGAGCCUGAGGGAUCACCUCCUCCUUCCCGAGGCAGAGGCGUGCGUGCGUCAGCACCUCCCUGAUCUCUACGUGGCUGCUGCGGGCGUCAACGUGUGGGCUCUGGUGGCGGCCAUCGCGCUGCUGUCCAGCAGUGUGCAUGACGUCCAGCAGCUGCUCUUCUGUCUCCGGAGACCCAGCUCCACCGUGACCAUGCCAGACGUCACCGAGACCCUAUAUUGCAUCGCUGUGCUUCUCUACGCCAUGAGGGAGAAGGGGAUCAACAUCAGCAACCGGAUUCACUACAACAUUUUCUAUUGCCUGUAUCUUCAGGAGAAUUCCUGUACUCAGGCCAGAGAAGUUACAGAGGAGCCGUCGGUUUGGCCAGGCAAGAAAACAACCAUCCAACUUACACACGAGCAACAGCUGAUUCUGAGCCACAAGAUGGAACCUCUCCAGGUGGUAAAGAUUAUGGCAUUUGCAGGCACCGGGAAGACCUCUACCCUGGUCAAGUAUGCUGAGAAGUGGUCUGAGAGCAGGUUUCUGUAUGUGACAUUCAACAAGAGCAUCGCAAAGCAGGCCGAGCUAGUCUUCCCCAGCAAUGUCAUCUGCAAAACCUUUCAUUCCAUGGCCUAUGGACACGUCGGGCGGAAGUACCAAUUAAAGAAGAAAUUGAAUCUCUUCAAGUUGACACCCUUCAUGGUCAAUUCUGUCCUUGCUGAAGGGAAAGGUGGAUUCAUAAGGGCCAAGCUAGUAUGUAAGACUUUAGAAAACUUCUUUGCCUCGGCUGACGAAGAGCUGACUAUUGAUCACGUGCCUAUCUGGUGUAAGAACAGCCAAGGACAGAGAGUCAUGGUUGAACAGAGUGAAAAGCUGAACGGUGUCCUUGAAGCCAGCCGACUCUGGGACAACAUGCGGAAGUUGGGGGAAUGCAAAGAAGAGGCUUACCAAAUGACUCAUGAUGGCUAUUUGAAACUCUGGCAGCUGAGCAAGCCUUUGCUUGCCUCUUUUGACGCCAUCUUUGUGGAUGAGGCCCAGGACUGUACCCCAGCUAUCAUGAACAUAGUUCUGUCUCAGCCAUGUGGGAAAAUCUUUGUAGGGGACCCACAUCAACAGAUCUAUACCUUCCGUGGUGCAGUCAAUGCUCUGUUUACAGUCCCUCACACGCACGUCUUCUAUCUCACACAGAGUUUCAGAUUUGGUGUGGAAAUUGCAUACGUGGGAGCUACCAUCUUGGAUGUCUGCAAGCGAGUAAGGAGAAAGACUUUGGUUGGAGGAAACCAUCAGAGUGGCAUUAGAGGUGAUGCCAAGGGCCAGGUGGCCCUGUUGUCCCGGACCAAUGCCAACGUGUUUGAUGAGGCUGUGCGGGUGACCGAAGGAGAAGUCCCUGCGAGGAUACAUCUGAUUGGGGGGAUUAAAUCAUUUGGAUUGGACAGAAUCAUUGAUAUUUGGAUCCUUCUUCAGCCGGAGGAAGAACGGAAGAAACAGAACCUCGUUAUUAAAGACAAGUUUAUUAGAAGAUGGGUGCACAAAGAAGGCUUUAGUGGCUUCAAGAGGUAUGUGACCGCAGCCGAGGACAAGGAGCUGGAAGCCAAGAUUGCAGUCGUUGAGAAGUAUAACAUCAGGAUUCCGGAGCUGGUGCAGAGGAUAGAGAAGUGCCACAUAGAAGACCUGGACUUUGCAGAGUACAUUUUGGGCACCGUGCACAAGGCCAAAGGCUUGGAGUUUGAUACCGUGCAUGUGCUGGAUGACUUCGUGAAAGUGCCCUGUGCCAGGCACAACCUCGCGCAGCUGCCGCACUUCAGAGUCGAGUCGUUUUCUGAAGAUGAAUGGAACUUACUGUAUGUUGCAGUAACCCGUGCCAAGAAGCGUCUCAUCAUGACCAAGUCCUUGGAGAACAUUUUGACUUUAGCUGGGGAGUACUUCCUGCAAGCAGAGCUGACCAGUAAUGUUUUGAAGACCGGAGUGGUGCGCUGCUGCGUGGGCCAGUGCAACAACGCCAUCCCCGUGGACACCGUGCUCACCAUGAAGAAGCCCCCCAUCACUUACAGCAACAGGAAGGAAAACAAGGGUGGCUACCUCUGCCAUUCCUGUGUGGAGCAGCGCAUUGGGCCCUUGGCCUUCCUGACGGCCUCCCCGGAGCAGGUGCACUCCAUGGAACGCACCGUCGAGAACAUAGUGCUGCCCAGACACGAAGCCCUGCUUUUCCUUGUCUUCUGAAAGCCAAGAGGAACUUUCUCCACGCACUUCAGGGAUGCAGAUGACAGGUGGGGGAGUUGGCACGGCAUUGCCCAAAGAGCUCACCACAUCUAGUCUCUGAGCCCACCAAGCGGCGUCCAGGAGCAGGCCUCGUAGCUUCCGUUGUCACAGCCUCCCCUUAGCCUCCUCCAUCAGCCUGGUGGAGCUUAGAGUGCGGGCCGCUUGAACGCGGUUGGUGCCUGAUGGACCACAGACUUAAUCUGUGAUGGACCGGAGGCAGGUGAUUCUGCAGCUCCGACACGGGCCUCCCGAGGUCAUCAUACUAGUUUUCCAAAGAUGAUGGUCAAAUGGAACCACGGAUCUGUGAAGCAGCCCCAUGACGUGACACUUUUACACGCGGUAGAAACCUUUCAACAUUCUGGUUCUAAUGAAUGGCUGCCAAUUUUUUUGUGCCGAGUUGUGUCUUCUGUCAAAUUAGUUUUUGAAAUCACAAAGGUCAAACUCUUAAAACUUACAAAGAACAAAAAGGGUCCAGUUAGUGGUAAACUCUAGAAAAAUAGGGGCAAACAGCUGAAGAGAGAUGCAAAACAUUUAGAUAAUCAGGCAGGUUCAGAAUAAUCAAGUGAUUAAGCCCAGCAAACACAAUGGCUCUGCUCCUGCCUUAGCCAUGAGUUUCCUCUCUUUGGGAAAGAGAAUUGCAGGGAGUGACAAUGGCAUGGCUCUAAAAUCCUAACACCAGCCCCUGGAAAUUCCUACCCUUCCUUCACUUUUGAUGAAACCAUCUAAAUUGACGAUGGGAGGAAUUUAGUCGGGAACGGCCCUUGGCGAGCUGCUGUGGAUGGUUACUGAGCCCGUGUCCCACUUUCCAAAUGCUUGUGAUGGCAGCCUGACUACCCCGCCUGUGCGCGAGGCAGUCGACGGC